GUAAAGAUCAUCAAGAAAUAUUUGGAUGAAUGGUUGGAUCAACUAAUGCGCAGAAAAAAUUCUGCACACCGAAUUGCAAAGAAUCCGCAAUUAUUAUUAUUAUUAUUAUUAGUUUUGAGAGAAAGGCGGCUUGCUACCUGCUUUGUCGAUUUCGAUAUGGGGACCUCGGGUACUAUGAAAAGAAGAAUUCACAAUUAUUGCUAUGAUAUUAUGAAUGGUUUGUUUCUUUUCAAUGUGGAGUCAUGGUCUAUAAAAAGUCUUCUACUCUUCCACUUGCAACCAAAUUGGCUUAAACAACCACCACUUGGUGGUAACCAAUAAGAGCAAAUAAUAAAUGAUUGAUCAACUUUGUCACACAUGUAAUUAAGCAUACCACUUAUUAGAAUAAUCAUACAUUGCUUACUGU
rnacentral:lncRNA from 1 species